GAUGAACGCUAGCGGCAGGCCUAACACAUGCAAGUCGAGGGGCAGCAUAAAAAUUCAGCAAUGAGUUUUGGUGGCGACCGGCGGACGGGUGCGUAACGCGUAUGCAACCUACCUUUAACAGGGGGAUAACGGAGAGAAAUUUCCACUAAUACCCCAUAAUAUCAGGAGAGGCAUCCCUUUCGGUUGAAAUCUCCGGAGGUUAAAGAUGGGCAUGCGUUGUAUUAGGUAGUUGGUGGGGUAAUGGCUCACCAAGCCUACGAUACAUAGGGGGACUGAGAGGUUAGCCCCCCACACUGGUACUGAGACACGGACCAGACUCCUACGGGAGGCAGCAGUGAGGAAUAUUGGUCAAUGGGGGCAACCCUGAACCAGCCAUGCCGCGUGCAGGAAGACGGCUCUAUGAGUUGUAAACUGCUUUUGUACAGGGAUAAAUCGGGGAACGUGUUCCCCGUUGAAGGUACUGUAUGAAUAAGGAUCGGCUAACUCCGUGCCAGCCGCCGCCGUAA
rnacentral:rRNA from 1 species